rnacentral:rRNA from 1 species
CAGCAGCCGCGGUAAUACGAAGGGGGCUAGCGUUGUUCGGAAUUACUGGGCGUAAAGCGCACGUAGGCGGACAUUUAAGUCAGGGGUGAAAUCCCGGGGCUCAACCCCGGAACUGCCUUUGAUACUGGGUGUCUAGAGUAUGGAAGAGGUGAGUGGAAUUCCGAGUGUAGAGGUGAAAUUCGUAGAUAUUCGGAGGAACACCAGUGGCGAAGGCGGCUCACUGGUCCAUUACUGACGCUGAGGUGCGAAAGCGUGGGGAGCAAACAGGAUUAGAUACCCCCGUAGUCCCUGUCUCUUAUAC